CCAAUAGCGUAUAUUAAAGUUGUUGCAGUUAAAAAGCUCGUAGUUGAAUUUUGGGUCUGGCCGGGCGGUCCGCCUUCUGGGUGAGUACUGUUCCGAUGUCGGGCCUAUCCUUCUGGUGAAUCGGCAUGCCCUUUACUGGAUGUGUCGGGGAACCAGGACCAUUACCUUGAAAAAAUUAGAGUGUUCAAAGCAGGCGCAUGCUCGAAUACAUUAGCAUGGAAUAAUGAAAUAGGACGCGUGGUGCUAUUUUGUUGGUUUCUAGAACCGCCGUAAUGAUUAAUAGGGAUAGUUGGGGGCAUUAGUAUUCAAUUGUCAGAGGUGAAAUUCUUGGAUUUAUUGAAGACUAACUUCUGCGAAAGCAUUUGCCAAGGAUGUUUUCAUUAAUCAAGAACGAAAGUUAGGGGAUCGAAGACGAUCAGAUACCGUCGUAGUCUUAACCAUAAACUAUGCCGACUAGGAAUCGGGCGAUGUUAUUUUCACGACUCGCCCGGCGCCUUAUG
rnacentral:rRNA from 1 species